rnacentral:lncRNA from 1 species
CUCAUCAAGACAAGAACAAAAGAAGCAAAAUUCUUAGAGUUCCCAGCAGCAGCCUCAGCAUUUUUGGCAAGGAUAUGUACAGACCACAGUAGCACAAUGUAGCAGUGUGAGGGCAGAUUUGUUACUGGAAUUAGUCAAAUCACAGCAAUGAAAGUGGUCGAGUCAUUCUGCUUUGUAGUCAUUCUGCUUCCAGUACCCCAAAAGUCUCUCACACAUCUAUAAAAUAGUUCAGAUUUGAGGAGGAUGUUGCUCCCUGUAACCAACUUUUGUGUGUGUGUGUAACAAGUGGCCAUCCCUCUGAAUACCUGUCUUCUCUGAAUAACUGUUUGCCCUAUAGGGAAGCAUUUGGUUUGUGUUUCUCUGUGACUGAGGAGAUUAAUUUCUUACUUUCUCUGUUUCUGCAAGGACUAGACCCAAAUUAAAUCUCACCAAAGCUGACUCUUGUUAUUUUAUCUUAAAGUAUCUUUCCAGGAGCAACUUUGUUAUCUAGGCAUGGGUAUGUGCAGCUCAUGGGACCAUAAAAACGCCUCUCAGUGUAAAGGCAAAGAGCUUUCCCUUUCUGGGCACAGAUGGAGUCAAGAGACUGAAUGAAGCAUCUACCUCUGCUGCAUUGUCUUCCAUGCUCUGUCAGCCUCUACAUCAGAAAAGCCAGAAGAAAACAUGGCAUUGGCAUCAUCUUAUCUGCUUCUUCCUUUGUGCUGCUUCAGAAACUAAAAAGGAUCCUGAUGAUUAUUCAAGCUGCUGAGUCUGCAGUGAGACUGAGUCAAGCUGAAAGAGGAUUAGUCCUGCCUUUGCUCUGGAACAUGCCAGAUUACACCAGCUUGCCUCUGGAAGGGGCUGCAUCUAAAGGCAGAGCAGAAAGCCUUUGUUUUGCUGUGCUCCAGUGA